CUUCACCGAACCGAGCCACAGCGGACGGUCACCUGCCUCCCGCUCCUGGCCGUAGGUCGCCAGCAGCGCCUGCGCCUC
rnacentral:antisense_RNA from 1 species